rnacentral:rRNA from 1 species
AGUAACGGCGAGUGAAGCGGCAACAGCUCAAAUUUGAAAUCUGGCUCUCGGGCCCGAGUUGUAAUUUGUAGAGGAUACUUUUGAUGCGGUGCCUUCCGAGUUCCCUGGAACGGGACGCCAUAGAGGGUGAGAGCCCCGUCUGGUUGGAUGCCAAAUCUCUGUAAAGUUCCUUCAACGAGUCGAGUUGUGUGGGA